GGGGAAUAUUGGACAAUGGGCGCAAGCCUGAUCCAGCCAUGCCGCGUGAGUGAUGAAGGCCCUAGGGUUGUAAAGCUCUUUCACCGGUGAAGAUAAUGACGGUAACCGGAGAAGAAGCCCCGGCUAACUUCGUGCCAGCAGCCGCGGUAAUACGAAGGGGGCUAGCGUUGUUCGGAAUUACUGGGCGUAAAGCGCACGUAGGCGGAUUGGUCAGUUGGGGGUGAAAUCCCAGGGCUCAACCCUGGAACUGCCUUUAAUACUGCCGGUCUAGAGUCCGAGAGAGGUGAGUGGAAUUCCGAGUGUAGAGGUGAAAUUCGUAGAUAUUCGGAGGAACACCAGUGGCGAAGGCGGCUCACUGGCUCGGUACUGACGCUGAGGUGCGAAAGCGUGGGGAGCAAAC
rnacentral:rRNA from 1 species